GAUUGAACACUGGUGGCAGGCCUAACACAUGCAAGUCGAGCGGCAUCGAGUGAGCGCAGUUUACUGAGUUCAUGUCGGCGAGCGGCGGACGGGUGAGUAAAGUCUGGGAAUCUGGCCGAAGGAGGGGGAUAACUGCUGGNAACGGCAGCUAAUNCCGCAUGAAGUCGCGANACCAAAGUGGGGGACCUUCGGNCCNCACGCCNUCGGAUGAGCCCAGAUGAGAUUAGCUGGUAGGUAAGGUAAAGGCUUACCUAGGNGACGAUCUCUAGCGGGUNUGAGAGGAUAGCCCCCCACACUGGAACUGAGACACGGUCCAGACUCNUNCGGGAGGCAGCAGUGGGGAAUAUUG
rnacentral:rRNA from 1 species